UACGUAGGUGGCGAGCGUUGUCCGGAAUUACUGGGUGUAAAGGGCGCGUAGACGGGCAUGUAAGUCAGAUGUGAAAUGCCGGGGCUCAACCCCGGAGCUGCAUUUGAAACUAUGUGUCUUGAGUGCAGGAGAGGAAAGCGGAAUUCCUAGUGUAGCGGUGAAAUGCGUAGAUAUUAGGAGGAACACCAGUGGCGAAGGCGGCUUUCUGGACUGUAACUGACGUUGAGGCGCGAAAGCGUGGGUAGCAAACAGGAUUAGAUACC
rnacentral:rRNA from 1 species